UACGAGGGGAGCAAGCGUUGUUCGGAUUUACUGGGCGUAAAGAGCGUGUAGGCGGCUCGGUAAGUCCGCUGUGAAAGUCGGGGGCUCAACCCUCGAAUGCCGGUGGAUACUGUCGAGCUAGAGUGCGGAAGAGGCGAGUGGAAUUCCUGGUGUAGCGGUGAAAUGCGCAGAUAUCAGGAGGAACACCGAUUGCGAAGGCAGCUCGCUGGGACGUUACUGACGCUGAGACGCGAAAGCGUGGGGAGCAAACAGG
rnacentral:rRNA from 1 species